rnacentral:lncRNA from 9 species
GGGGCGCCGCAGUGUUCGUGGGAUGGGGCAGCGGGCUGCCGCUGGCGGCCGGAAUCCGCGUGCAGCCCGGAAUCAAUAGUCCUGAAGAAGAGAGCCUAUUGCCCCAGCCUGGGACAGAUGUCGACUUGGACCAAUCAGCUGUGGCUGCGGAGACUAGAUACUGCUACACUCAGCACACAAUGGAAGUCACAGGAAACAGCAUCUCUGUCACCAAGCGCUGCGUUCCACUGGAAGACUGCUUGUCCACUGGCUGCAGGGACUCCGAGCAUGAAGGCCACAAGGUCUGCACUUCCUGUUGUGAAGGAAAUAUCUGUAAUUUGCCACUCCCCCGGAAUGAAACUGAAGCCACAUUUGCCACAACAUCACCCAUAAAUCAGACAAACGGGCACCCACACUGCAUGUCAGUGAUAGUGUCCUGCUUGUGGGUGUGGUUGGGACUCACAUUAUAGUUGCUCACAGGCACCAUGGGUAGUGGCAUCCACCAGGAUUUCCAUGGUCCCUGGUCAUGCAUGAGUCAUUGGCCUGACCGUAGUUACACAUGUAAAACCAUAGCACUCACGUCUUCAUAGCCAAGCACUUCCACUUACCGUGAGGAACAAACAUUGCUUCCAUGUAGUCAUUUCAAGUCCAAGACCUCAUCAAAGCAGCCUGCCUCCAGCACAGCCCCUGAGUUCUCCAUAAACCUUUGUCUUUCCUCCAAGAAAUAGUUCUGCAUUUACUAAGAUGUAGGGCUCUAAUUUAGAAUACAUGCACAAGCCACGGGAGGCUCUGAGACUCUCGGGGAUGUCAGACUAGAUGGUAUGUGGACACAUAUAGAUCUCUGUUCUUCAGGAGAAAGGUAUGGGACCACUGGGUUAGGUCCAAUCAUGAAUUCAUUUAUAGCUUUAGAGUUUUAAAACUUUGAUUCCCAAAUGAGUGGACUCUACCUGGAGCUUCUGAUCGAGUCCUUAGAAAAAUGGCAAGCAGUUUGUCCAAUUUAAUUGUCCUAAUCUUCUCGCAGUGAUGGGAACCACAUUCCCUCCUCUUGUGUGAAACAUAAAGUAGGCAAUCAUAAAAGUUUAUUGUAUGGGAGGAGGGACGGCUGGAGAAAAUUUUCCCAACUUAAUGGAAAUAGCAUCCAUAAGGUGGCCGUUUAUCCCUUCGUGUAAUUGGCAAAAUUGGCCUUGAUUUGGCGCGUAAUUGUGCUCCAUGAAUUCCUGGAUUAUACCUGGACCAAUAGGUGACCAAAGAGUCUGAAAGCAGAGUGGGGUUAUUUCCUCCAAUCAUGGGGUACUAUUCAGGCGUAGCUAAUAGAGACAGAGAGAGGAUUUCAAGACAAAAGGAAGAUGUGUGGAGUUGAUCCUAGUUUGUUGUGAGGACCCAGUAAGUGUCUCCACCAAAUCUUUCAUCUGCAAUUUAUGCUGCCAAAGGGCCCUCCCCAUUCUUCCUCUUCCAAGUCCCCAACGACUUCAGGGAGAAGGUUCUGUAUUACGUUAUGUCAAGAUUGAUAAGGAAAGAAGACCUAAUAUCCAGAAUGAGCAGUAGGUGGAACAGUGGGGUGAUGAUGAGACUAGUAAAGAGACCCAGUGAGAAGUUUUUAUUUCUUUUAGAUGAUCACUUUUGAAAUAUAUGGUAAAACUUUCACCAUCCUUCCUAUAUAUUUGGCACCUCAAGUUACACAUUUUUCUUCUUCCUUAUAAAUCAUUUAUACAAUAUUUAUUUUUGUAUGGCAUAACUAUAAACUAAAAUAUAUUGAAAAGAUUCUUUAUUCUGAGCAAACGAUCAAAUUAGAAUACAUAUUUUUCAACAGUGGUAGAGCGUGUAAUAUAUGUUUAUGGAACGUUAUCUAUAAUACUUGCACCAGUGUUGAAAAAAAGUUAACGUUGUGAGCAAGAGUAAGUAAUAUGUUGGCCUCAAGGAUUUUGCUCAUGGUCUCCUCAGUGGUGUUGUCCCAGAAGUAUUUGGGGCUGGGGUGACAUCACUAGUUUCUCUGCAGGGUUAGGGGGCACAUUUGCAUGAACUUUGGUGCAGUCUUUGCUGGUCAGGAGGAUAGUUUUGUCAUGGUCCAUCUGACCACCAGCACAGGAAAAGGUCUCGGGGUCAGAAAAUGAGCCCCUCUCAGGGACCAAACAUGAACUGACAGCAGUGACUCUGCAUUGCAUCAAAUGGCCUUAAUUCAGAGUUGGGUAGGCUUAGCCAUAUGUUGCUUACCCUUGGGGUGGGGGAAGUAGAGGGGGAGAAAGCAAGACAUUUAUUAAGCACGUCUUAUGUGCCAGACACUACGCUAAGCACUUUACAUGAUUUGGGUCGUGUGGUCCCUGCAAGAACCCUGUAAGGAGUGUUACUGGUAUUUACACUGUACACAUGAAGGUACUGAGCUCUAAGAAGCUCGACAACAUGAAGCCUUUCCUUCAGUUUAGGUUAGAUGGGGGGAGGUGGGGUUGAAGAGGAAGGGAAUGUGGAAUUGCCACCCGUGCGAAAAAUUCCAGGCAUCAUGAGCACUUGUCCAUCUUGUGGAGUUUGUCUAGCCCUGCUUCUACAGGAUGUCACUUGUGUGUCCCCAGAUGAUGUUUUGUUUUGUUUUUUUUUCUUUAGGGGGAGGGGGUGGAGGCAUGGCUUCCUCAUUCAUUCCUCUUGUUGUCAAAGAGGAGACAGGUUGGUCCAACAUCUGAAGAUGGUAGAAGACAAUGACAAUUUGAUGUUGUAUAUACCCACAACUACAUUUUUCUGCAUGGGUCACUCUCCACGGACACUUUCUAAAUACUGCAUGUGAUUAGAAUAAGACAGAAAGUCCAAAUCUUGGUUCUUGGAGAAAGCACCACUCCAAAGCCUCCCUGGCUGGUGUGCAGGGACCAGGUCCACAGCGGGGAGGACUCAUCCGCCACCCACAGGGUACCUGCAAACUCGACCCAGAUGUGGCUGUGUGUGCCCCAUAUGCCUGUCAGAAUGGCUGGCAUUUCAUUCUCUUCAAAGAAAGUCGUUUUCUCACCAUCCCCAGCCUCAAGGAGCCAAGGAAUGGCCAUUCAUGUGGAAGGCCCAGGACUGGUCAUCCAUCUGACUUUUCUACCACAUCAAACCCUCCAUUAAAUCCUACCGUAGGUGACGGCUUGAAGUGCAAAGAGCCACAUGUGUAUAUUAACCUAUGUGCCCCUUAUUUAUUUUUAGACUCCCCACAGCAUUCAUGUCAAUAUGGGAUUAAUGCCUAAAUUUUGUAAAUACUGUACAUUUUGUAAAUCAACGAAUAAAGGUUUUAAGUG